rnacentral:rRNA from 1 species
GACGGAGGAUGCAAGCGUUAUCCGGAAUUAUUGGGCGUAAAGCGUCCGCAGGUGGCCUAUCAAGUCUGCUGUCAAAGACCGGGGCUUAACCCCAGAAAGGCAGUGGAAACUGAGAGGCUAGAGUGUGGUAGGGGCAGAGGGAAUUCCCAGUGUAGCGGUGAAAUGCGUAGAGAUUGGGAAGAACACCGGUGGCGAAAGCGCUCUGCUGGGCCAUCACUGACACUCAGGGACGAAAGCUAGGGGAGCGAAUGGG